CGCCUUUUACCCUUGGUCGUUGGCGCCUUUUGCCGCGCGGGCGCUCGUCGGUCGUCUGCCCGCGCGCCCGCCGUCGCGCCUUGCCCAGUUGCGCGGUCGCCCUGCUUUUGUGCGGGCGUCCUCGCUUUUGUUUUCCUCGCCGCAUCAACAGCGACGAUCGCCGGCCUACAUUCCCCCCUCGGUGUGUCUUGCGGCGGCGCAGUCCAGUACAACACAAAAGGGGGCACAACGGGACGGCAAAAACGCAACCUGCCGGGCCCGAAAAAAGCAGAGCGCAGCGCAAACGGGACGACCCCAAGGCCCCAAAAGGAAAAAAAACAAGGCCAGGAAAUCACAGUCGCGCCCGGCAGCCGGCGACGCCUGGCCGACCGGCUAAAACACGCGAGUCUGCCGUCGACGUCACCACCGCGGCACCAUCAAUCGCCAGGUUUUCCGGGCAUUUGACUGGCCGUUGCCCGGCAUUUGCCGCGCUCCAAAUGGCCGAGGCGCGCCAGAAAAAAGUCCGUUCAUGGAUCGACAAAGAAAAAAAAGGCAGGCGCCGCGGCACAGCGACCGACGCACAAAGGAACCGCACAAAAACUAUAUGCGCUGUGGUUGGCAUUUUUUUGUGAGCCCC
rnacentral:lncRNA from 1 species